rnacentral:rRNA from 1 species
CCAGACUCCUACGGGAGGCAGCAGUGAGGAAUAUUGGUCAAUGGACGCAAGUCUGAACCAGCCAAGUAGCGUGCAGGAUGACGGCCCUCCGGGUUGUAAACUGCUUUUAGUUGGGAAUAAAAGGGGGCUCGUGAGCCCCGUAUUGUAUGUGCCAUCAGAAAAAGGACCGGCUAAUUCCGUGCCAGCAGCCGCGGUAAUACGGAAGGUCCGGGCGUUAUCCGGAUUUAUUGGGUUUAAAGGGUGCGCAGGCGGAAGAUCAAGUCAGCGGUAAAAUUGAGAGGCUCAACCUCUUCGAGCCGUUGAAACUGGUUUUCUUGAGUGAGUGAGAAGUAUGCGGAAUGCGUGGUGUAGCGGUGAAAUGCAUAGAUAUCACGCAGAACUCCGAUUGCGAAGGCAGCAUACCGGCGCUCAACUGACGCUCAUGCACGAAAGUGUGGGUAUCGAACAGGAUUAGAUACCCCAGUAA